rnacentral:rRNA from 1 species
GACGAACGCUGGCGGCGUGCCUAAUACAUGCAAGUUGAGCGCUGAAGGUUGGUACUUGUACCAACUGGAUGAGCAGCGAACGGGUGAGUAACGCGUGGGGAAUCUGCCUUUGAGCGGGGGACAACAUCUGGAAACGAAUGCUAAUACCGCAUAAAAACUUUAAACACAAGUUUUAAGUUUGAAAGAUGCAAUUGCAUCACUCAAAGAUUAUCCCGCGUUGUAUUAGCUAGUUGGUGAGGUAAAGGCUCACCAAGGCGAUGAUACAUAGCCGACCUGGGAGGGUGAACGGCCACAUUGGGACUGAAACACGGCCCAAAAUCCUACGGGAGGCAGCAGUAGGGAAUCAUCGGCAAAGGACGAAAAUCUGACCGAGCAACGCCGAGUGAGUGAAGAAGGUUUUCGGAUCGUAAAACUCUGUUGGUAGAGAAGAACGUUGGUGAGAGUGGAAAGCUCAUCAAGUGACGGUAACUACCCAGAAAGGGACGGCUAACUACGUG